rnacentral:piRNA from 1 species
UGGGCAUUUGCUCUGGAGGUGAACCUGGAA